GGAGAAAUGGCUGAGUGGACUAAAGCGUCGGAUUGCUAAUCCGUUGUGUGAGUAUUCGUACCGAGGGUUCGAAUCCCUUCUUUA
rnacentral:tRNA from 1 species